UUUAAAAACUACCAGUUUAUUCUACCUCUGGAAUUUGCCAUUGAAGAGAUCAACAGGAAUUCACUUUUUAACAAACAUAUCUCUGGAAUUGGACUUUCAUAAUGUCCCACAGGGGGAGAAAACCAUUCUUUUGCAGCCCCUCCUUUGGCUACCAGGCCUCAGUUUUCCAUACCCAAAUUAUCACUGUGUGAAUGAGAUAAAGUCUAUUGCAGCACUAACUGGCCAUCAUGGGUAAAAUCUGUCCAUAUUGGGACACUGCUUCAACUCUGCAAAAUCCCACAGCAAUGCCCAUUUUCAGAGCUUGAUUGUCAAAUUUUGGAGAGAUGCCAACCAAAUGCUUCCUUGGAAUUCCUGCCUAGACCCAUUUUUGACAAGGAAAUGAGUGAAGAGAGUUAUGAUAUUUACAAAGCUGAGAUGAGCCUUCAGCAAGUACAGAUGCAACCAUUUCGAAAUGAGAAGGAAAUGGUGUUCUUCCCUGGCAGCUUCACCCUUUAUUGAGGAAUAAUCAUGUCAGAGACAACAGGCAUUUAUAUUGGGAACAGGAGUUUGAUGACAAGUAUGACAUUCUCAAGUUUUGGCAUUUUCCAA